GACGAACGCUGGCGGCGUGCUUAACACAUGCAAGUCGAACGGAAAGGCCCUGCUCUUGCUGGGUGCUUGAUUGGCGAACGGGUGAGUAACACGCGAGUAUCCUGUACUUGUCUUUGGGAUAACUUUAGGAAACUGGGGCUAUUAUCGGAUAGGAUCUCCUGCUGCACGGUGGGGGUUGGAAAGUUUCGGCGGUUGGGGAUGGACUCGCGGCUUAUGAGCUUGUUGGUGGGGUAGUGGCUUACCAAGGUUUCGACGGGUAGCCGGCCUGAGAGGGUGACCGGCCACAUUGGGACUGAGAUACGGCGCAGACGCCAACGGGAGGCAGCAGUGGGGAGUAUUGCGCAAUAGGCGGAAGCCAGAUGCAGCAACGCCGCGUGCGGGAUGACGGCCUUCGGGUUGUAAACCGCUUUCGCCUGUGACGAAGCGAGAGUGACGGUAAUGAGUAAGGAAGCACCGGCUAACUACGUG
rnacentral:rRNA from 1 species